UACGGAGGGUGCAAGCGUUAUCCGGAUUUACUGGGUUUAAAGGGUGCGUAGGUUGCAAUAUAAGUCAGUAGUGAAAUUCUAGAGCAUAACUCUGGACGUGCUAAUGAUACUGUAUAGCUGGAAUUGAGUCGAAGUACCUGGAAUGCGUCAUGUAGCGGUGAAAUGCAUAGAGAUGACGUAGAACACCAAUAGCGAAGGCAAGGUACAAGGCUACGAUUGACACUGAGGCACGAAAGCGUGGGGAGCGAACAGG
rnacentral:rRNA from 1 species